rnacentral:rRNA from 1 species
GCGUGCGUGAAGAAGGCCUUAGGGUUGUAAAGCGCUUUCACCCGUGACGAUGAUGACGGUAGCGGGAGAAGAAGCCCCGGCUAACUCCGUGCCAGCAGCCGCGGUAAUACGGAGGGGGCGAGCGUUGUUCGGAAUUACUGGGCGUAAAGGGCGCGCAGGCGGCGAUUCAAGUCAGGGGUGAAAGGCCUGGGCUCAACCUAGGAACUGCCCUUGAGACUGGAUUGCUAGAGACCGGGAGAGGAUGGUGGAAUUCCCAGUGUAGAGGUGAAAUUCGU